CGGGUCUCCUGCAUUACAGCAGAUUCUUCACUGUCUGAGCCAUCAGGGAAGCUUACAAACAGAAUAUUAUACAACUUUAAAAAAGAAUGAGGAAACUCUUUGAGAACUGCAUUCUCCAAAACAUUUUCAGUUGCUCAGCUGUGUCUGAUUCUUUGCCACCCCAUGGGCUGCAGCAUGCCAGCUUCCCUGUCCUAAGGUGUAAUAAACUGCACUCCACUAUCUGCAUCGUCCUUCUGAGUGAGUGUUUCCCAGAACAUGUGGCUGCACCAGGAUGGCAUCACUGACUCGAUGGACAUGAGUUUGAGCAAGCUCCGGGCGUUGGUGAUGGACAUGGAAGCCUGGCAUGC
ensembl:lncRNA